CCUACGGGAGGCAGCAGUGGGGAAUAUUGCACAAUGGGCGCAAGCCUGAUGCAGCGACGCCGCGUGAGGGAUGACGGCCUUCGGGUUGUAAACCUCUUUCAGUAGGGAAGAAGCGAAAGUGACGGUACCUGCAGAAGAAGCGCCGGCUAACUACGUGCCAGCAGCCGCGGUAAUACGUAGGGCGCAAGCGUUAUCCGGAAUUAUUGGGCGUAAAGAGCUCGUAGGCGGUUUGUCGCGUCUGCCGUGAAAGUCCGGGGCUCAACUCCGGAUCUGCGGUGGGUACGGGCAGACUAGAGUGAUGUAGGGGAGACUGGAAUUCCUGGUGUAGCGGUGAAAUGCGCAGAUAUCAGGAGGAACACCGAUGGCGAAGGCAGGUCUCUGGGCAUUAACUGACGCUGAGGAGCGAAAGCAUGGGGAGCGAACAGGAUUAGAUACCCUGGUAGUCCAUGCCGUAAACGUUGGGCACUAGGUGUGGGGGACAUUCCACGUUUUCCGCGCCGUAGCUAACGCAUUAAGUGCCCCGCCUGGGGNGUACGGCCGCAAGGCUAAACUCAAAGGAUUGACGGCUGNGAGNGCGACGACGACGACGAGGGAGAGG
rnacentral:rRNA from 1 species